rnacentral:rRNA from 1 species
UACAGAGGUCCCAAGCGUUGUUCGGAUUCAUUGGGCGUAAAGGGUGCGUAGGCGGGAUGGCAAGUCAGUCGUGAAAUCUCUCGGCUCAACCGAGAAACGUCGGCUGAUACUGCCGUUCUUGAGGGAUGCAGAGGAGACUGGAAUUCCCGGUGUAGCGGUGAAAUGUGUAGAGAUCGGGAGGAACACCGGUGGCGAAGGCGGGUCUCUGGGCAUCUCCUGACGCUGAGGCGCGAAAGCGUGGGGAGCAAACGGG